CCCCCUCUCUCUGUCUACCUCUCUGCUCCUCUCAGUCAUCAGUUCAAACCCUAGAAAAUUGGGGAUUUUUCCAAUAUCAAAGGAUUGACCAAUCUUUCAGUCACAGGCAUAUGUUGAAAAUUUUGGAGCGGAGCAAGGGAUGUGGAGGUGGAUCUUAUUUGGGAUAGGCUUCGUUUUUGGGAUUCCCUUUGGCCGUUGGUAUCUUCAGAAGUUAAGGAUUGUUCCUUUCAAGCAGCUCCUCUCCUCCUUCUGUGACGACGAGACGAUGCCGGCGACCACAUCUCCUCUCCUCUCAAGUUUUCAUAGUUAUGAUUUCCCUUUCUCACUCUCAUCUGGAUCUCUAUGGCUGGCUUUCUCUCAACCUCUCUGUGGCUGGCUUUCUCUCAACCUCUCUGUGGCAGGGUUGGAAGCUUGAGAGUUGUUCAUUCUUGAUAAUGAUAUGGGACUUUAAAUUGAUGGCCUUGAGACUGCAUAUUGUUCAAACCAAAAGCACUGGGUUCUUGAAGGAAGAUGCUAGAAGAUGGAGAUAGGAUUGAGACAUUUUAUGUACUCUGUUUACUUGAGAUCUCAAUGUUAAAAUAAUGAUCUAGAACCUGAGAUAGGAUUGAGACAUUUAUUGUCCUCCACGACAAUAGAGCAAAUUGGUGUCCGUUACAACCCAUGAGAUCCAUGACUUCUUAUAAUGUAUUAUUUUUGUGCUUGAGAUAAUUUAGUCUGAAUUGUAGAGUAAUAUCUUUAGUUUCUU